rnacentral:pre_miRNA from 1 species
AAAACAUUCGGACCGUCGGUCUACCGAGCAAUAUCACCCGCUCGGUGGAAGAUAAUAAUAUUUCCCUCCGUCUU